AGGGGGUGGGGAGGUGACGUCACGCGGCUGCCCCGGGGUGCAACGGCUGGGCAGCGGGAGGCCGUGGCGUCCUUGUGCCUGGGAUACUUGACCCCUCCCCCCACUUCCUCAGGGAGCGGGAAGGCUGCGGGGGUGACCUCGCGCCAGCUCCCUAUUGCGUGAAGACGACCUCUAGUGAAACUCAGACGCUCCCCAAACUCAGGGUCUCUUUAGUGCAGUCUGGCCUUGAACUUAUGGCUAUCCUCCUGCCUCAGCCUCUGGAGUGCCGAGAUUACAGGGUCUUGCUAUGUAGUUCAGGCUGGAUUUGAAUUCACUAUGUAGCCCAGGCUGGCCUCAAAUUCACAGUGAUCCUCCUGCCUUGGUCUCCUGAGUGCAGGCAUUAUAGGCAUGCGCCACUAUGCCUGGCAGGGAUCGAACUGUUUGCAAGGCAGGUGCUUAUGCCGCUGAGCUAAAUCCCCAGCUCCCGGAAGUUUGAUUUUUUAAAAGGACAGAAUUGUAGAAAGAACAUGCUGCAAGGUGUAUACCAAGUUUUUGGAGAAGAUGGGUGCAGGGGGAUAAUGGGAGUCCAGGGAGGAAGGGAGCAAGACGAUUUUCAGGAGAGAAGGGGACCUGCUUGACUUGUCGCCAACUGCUCACACACAACACCGGCCUGAUUAAUCUCAGGUGAGCAAACUCCAGAGAAUUCUUGGUGCUGAGCUCGGCCCCAGGCAAGUUUUUUCCCCCUUCGCGUGAGUUGGUGAUGCUCUCAUGUCCUUAAGACAGCCCAGGGCAGGGUCUUUCUGGGCAAUCUGUGUCCACACUCAAAAAUCUCUCACAUCCUUUGGGUUCGGAUAGCCCAAGGUAGAGUUUUUUGGACUGCCCACACUGUGAGACCCUCAUGUCCCUCAGAGCUUCAUGCUCUUACAGGCAGAACUGUUAUUGACCCCACGUGGACUCCACUCGUAAAUCUCUCAGUGACAACUGGGAUAUAUGAGUUUUUGGACCCUAACUGUCAUUUGGUGCCAUGGAAUGAGUGACGGCUUCCUCUCUGGACCAUGGCUCGUUUCUUGCCUGAAUUAGUCACGGGAAAUGUUUUUUCUAAUUCUCAAAAGACACCUCUGCAAUGCCUAACUUCCAAUCUACGUACUCUUAAGAUUAAAAGCACCAUAAAAACUAAAUGAUUAACUUUUUACUGCCAGGAGGUUUGGCCAACCUACCCACUUAUUGGCAACCCUUGGUCCAGAGAGGGGAUAUUUGACCCCUAUAUUCUCAAAAAUCUGUACAAUUUCUGCCAGGCUGGUGACAAGUUAACAGAGAUCCCUUAUGUACAAGCUUUCCUUGUUCUGAGAACAUGCCCGUCUCUCAUUAAAUCUUGUACUCCCACCCAGAUACUUUUAGCUAACUCUGCUGUGCUGCAAACUCUCCCCUCCUGCCCUCAUGAUCCGCUCGAUGAAGUACCCCCAGUUUUUUAUCAGCUGCCACCCACCUACCCCCAAAAUCAUUCAUCGCUGUUACCUCCCGCCAUGCGAUCAUUUUCCCCUCCAUCUCCCAGGACCCAUAACUCUCCCAGCAGCUCUAAUCUCUCUGUUAGUGCUUCCUCUGACUUCUUACUCUCCUGAAAAUUCUCUGUACCCUAUAGCAUUCUCACCUCCAGCCCACCAUACUAGGUUUCAGUCGCUGGCAAGCUGCGUGACUGUUCCAGCUUGUGCUGGGAAUGGUCGCCAUGUUGCGGCCCUCUGCCAUGUGAAAGGGCACUUCCAUCUUGGGAUGGAUCUCAUGGUCAAUGGCCACCCCCUUGUGGCUCCUCUUGUGAUCAGCAACAGCCACCCUGUUGCAGACCACAUGACGGUUCACUGUGUCGCAGACAGCAAUUUCAUCUCUGCAAGGCACAUAGUGAGACGCCAUCUGCCUGUGUUUCCUCAUCCCAGGGUAACUGGCAGCCACUUUGUGGCUGAUCUACAGAUAAUUGCUCACAUGUGUCUACCGGAUGGAUGGCUGCCCAAUGGCCAUCUACUCUGGAAUCUUCUCCCCAAUCUCUGCUACCACUUUGGGAGCAAGCUGGCCCUGAGGGACUUGUUAAUGUACAUGUGCCUUUCUCCCUUUCUGACUUAUCUCAGAUUACCCAUAAAUUAGGUAGUUUCUCUGUUGACCCACAGAAUUAUAUCAGGGAAUUUGAAUUUAUAACUAAUUGUUAUGAUUUACAUUUUAAAGAUGUUUAUGUGAUUCUAAAUACCACUCUCAGCUCACGAGUGAAAUCAGCUGUAGCAAGCAGCUCGAGAAGAAGCUGAUCGCAGACAUAAGGUGAACACCACUGAUAAUGACCCUGGGCCUGCAGCUGUGCCAGAACAAGAUCCUAACUGGAACUAUCAAAACGGUGAAGGUUUGACAAAAUUACAUAAAAUGAUUGAGUAUCUGAUUGUGGGUCUUAAUAAGAUUGCUCAUAAACACACUAACUAUAACAAACUUUUAGAACAGGUCCAGGAGGCUAAUGAAAACCCAGCUGUGUUCCUAAAUCAGCUUUAGGAAACCUUAAGUUUACUAAUGUGAACCCAGACUCUCAUGAAGGGAUGAUUGUUGUUAACUCUUAUUUUAUUUCCCACUCUGCUCCUGAUAUUCGUGCAAAAUUAUAAAAGGUUGAACAUGGCCUUCAAACUCCACAAGGGGAUCUACUUAAAUUAGCUUUCUGUGUCUUCAGCAACAGAGAAAAAAUUCAAAAAGAGGAAAAGCAAGCUCAAAAAUUAAGGUUUGCUAAAUAUCAGUCUGAUCUGUUAGUAGUGGCACUCGGGGCUCCCAGGACAAGAAAUCCAAAACAAGGUGUGGCUGCCCGAGUCUCACCCGGACCAUGCUUUAAAUGCAGCAAACAAGGACACUGGGCAAAGGAUUGCCCCCAACCCUGGCAUCCUUGUAGGACCAUGUCCAUACUGCAACGAUAAGGGCCAUUGGAAGAGUGACUGUCCUAGCCGCCAGCGAGCAGGUAAGCCAUCCUCUAAUCCCUCGUCCUCACAGGAGACUCCAUCAAUGCCAGAUUCAUCACUGACUGACCUGCUCAGACUUGCUGUGGAAGAUUGACGGGGCUCGGGGCUCACAGCUCUCACUCCGGUAACCUUGUCGGAGCCCCGAGUCUCAGUGGAGGUCUCAGGUAAGAUAAUAUCUCUGCUUGUGGAUAUGGGGAUGACUUAUAGUGUACUUCUUGAAUUUUCAGGACCUUGUAGUAAGUCCUUGAUCUCUGUUGUGGCGUUGAAGGCCAGCCUACUCAACCUUUGCAAACUGGGCCUAUCCCAUGUCAAUUCCAGACUCUUUUUCUUUACCCAUAGCUUCCUAGUAAUCCCAACAUGUCCCACACCCCUUUUAGGUAGAGACCUUCUUCAAAAGCUUAAUUUUUCCUUCACUUUCUCUCUCCCACAGCCCUAAUCCUCCAAAUAGCCUUACAAUGUGUCGCAAAGCCAUUCUCUCCCCUUCUCUGGUUGACCCCAUAGUUUGGGACACAUCCAAUUUCACUCUGGCUACAUAUGCCAUGCCUGUUUUAAUCCGUCUCAGGGAUCCCUCAAUUUUUCCCUGUGUUCCCCAAUACCCCAUAGCUCCCCAAUAUUUAAGGGGACUUAAACCCAUAAUUAACUGCCUUUUGGACAAUGGUUUUCUUAAACCUACCCAUUCACCCCACAAUACUCCCAUUCUCCUGGUACUCACGCCUGAUGGGUCCUAUUGCCUGGUACAGGACCUUAGAGUAAUUACACACCCCUGGUCAGGACUGGCAGAUAGGUUUUACACACAUGCCCCACCACAAAACUCUCAAAUAUCUUCUCACCUUUGUACAUUUUCAGGAUGGAUAGAAGCCUUUCCCACAACCAGGGAAACUGCUGAUGUCAUUACCAAAGUCAUAUUACAAGAAAUCAUUCCAAGGUUUGGUCUACCUCAGAGUAUUCAGUCAGAUAAUGGUCCCACCUUUAUUUCUCAGAUCACUCACCAGGUAUCCUCAAGCUUACACAUCACCUGGCACUACACAUCCCAUACCAUCCACAAUCCUCAGGGAAAGUAUAAAAGGCAAAUGGCCUCAUAAAGACACACCUUACAAAACUCACUUUAGAACUACAUCAACCUUGGCCUCAACUUUUGCCCUUAGCCUUAGCCAAGCUCAGGACAUUUCCCCGGGCUCCUAGUUUCUUAAGUCCUUUUGAACUUAUGUACAGCAGGCCAUUCUUACUCCACAAUCUUCCUACUCCCCAAAAUCUCCCUCUCCUUGAUGACUAUGUCCCAGUCCUCUCUUUCCUCCGACACCCGUUGUGACAACAUGCUGAUGUCUGCCUUCCACAAUCCUCUGGAGAGGCCAAACUAGAUCCUCCCAUAUCCCCAGGAGAUCUAAUUUAUCUCAAAUGUUCUAAAUCCACAGGACUACAACCAGGGUGGAGUGGCCCCUAUCUGGUCUACUUGGCUGCCCCUACACUGGUCAAAGUUGCUGGACUCCCAUCCUGGUUUCACAUCACUCAGGCUAAGAGGUGCCCUCCCAACCCUAAAUCUGAUCAUUCUGAGUGGUCAUCUCAUCUUCUGUCACCCACCUGUCUCCGUUUCAUGAAGGCCUCACAACCACAGUUAGCAGGCUAAGUCAUGUUAUCCACUUUGGUGCCUAAUUUCUUACGUUCUAUUAAUGAUCAUUUUUACAGCAGGACUCUUGACAGUCUUUCCUAAAGACUCCCACAUCAUGUGUAAGAUAAUCUUCAUAAUGUUCUAUGCGAUGACUGUCACAGUUCUUUCUACUCUCAGCUGUCUGGUUAAAUGUGACAUCCCUGAAAGCCUAAGCCCUUACCUUCCCUAUACUGGUAUAGCCACCACCUUCCCUACUGUCCCUAUUUUUUCAGUUCAACUCCUGGACCAGAGACAAGUUUUACACACCUACCCUCUUAACUUUUAUGCUUUCAGAUGGAGGAGUAAUCACCUCUCAUAACAUCAUUCCUCCUAACCUCACACUUAAUUUUCAGAAUUCUACCUCACCAUAACAAUGAUCCUAACUCAAUGUCAUCCUGAUAUAAUGACAUGUCUAAAUCAAAGGCACCUUUCCCUCUACCUCACCUGGGUCCUUAAAUAUGACAGUGCCAUGUCUCCUCAUAACAUCUUGUCUCUUUGUUUUUCCAGUCUAACAUAACGUGCAUUCACCAGUGAAGUUGUCCUGGCUAAAACACCUGGCAUCAGCGUCUACCUGGGCAUCAACUGUCAUCCCAUUGACUCCCCUAGACUCCAGUACAGUGCCCCCUGCCAGCAGGAAGUAAAGAGAGAAAUCUUCACCCCUUUUCAUAAUAAUAAUCAUAAGAUGGGAUAUGAAAGGGUUUUGGCCCAGACAGGACACUGUAGCUGGUGAAGCCUUAAAGGCAGAACCAAGGAGCUCCUAUCUUCCCCACCCCUAGGAAUUUACCUAUGGCACCAAACCAAGACCAAUGGGCUACCUGUGCAUCCCUGAUGCCCCUUUAGAUUCCACUCCAUACCGAGGCUUCUUACAUACCCCAACACCACAUGUCCACCAGAGAGAAAGCCGGACUCCAGCGGUUGGGGGUUUUGGUUUUCUUUCUCCAUGUUCUCUGAAUAAAGGCCUCUUUUGUUUUAUACUUCU